rnacentral:rRNA from 1 species
CACGUAGGGCGCAAGCGUUGUCCGGAAUUAUUGGGCGUAAAGAGCUCGUAGGCGGUUCGUCGCGUCUGCUGUGAAAACUGGAGGCUCAACCUCCAGCCUGCAGUGGGUACGGGCAAACUAGAGUGCGGUAGGGGAGAUUGGAAUUCCUGGUGUAGCGGUGGAAUGCGCAGAUAUCAGGAGGAACACCGAUGGCGAAGGCAGAUCUCUGGGCCGUAACUGACGCUGAGGAGCGAAAGCAUGGGGAGCGAACAGG